CAAGGAGAACAGAAGGAAAUGCAAGAAAUUCAUGCCUGGAUGAUGAAUAUCUGUGAGAAUAUAACUACACAACAGUAGCUAUGUCGCCAUUAGCAAGUGAUUUGGAUCAAGAGGAUUGGUUUACUAUAAAUAAACAGGGCUUGGAGCACAUGGAAGGGCAUGAAUUUCACCUUCCCCAGGAAGACUAUGGACAAGGUACACCAAAACCACUCUGGAUCCAAACCACUGUGUGAUAAAGAGGAGAGAGAUCCCUGCACACCUUCGAGGGUUUCAUGGCCAUCUCUUGGCUUCGUGUGUCGCCACCACUUCUGCACUGACUUGGCAACAAGGCGAGUUUGCAGGAAGGCAGAAUGUAGGUGAAGGAAGGGAGAUGACCCAAGGAGAGGGUGUCUCACCAAAGCAUCAUCUACAGGGAAGGAGGAAAUCCUGCUGAUAAGCCUAUCCCUGCUUAUUUACUUUCCACU